GGGCCCGCACAAGCGGUGGAGUAUGUGGUUUAAUUCGAUGCAACGCGAAGAACCUUACCAGGGUUUGACAUCCUGCGAAUCUCUUGGAAACGAGAGAGUGCCUUCGGGAGCGCAGUGACAGGUGGUGCAUGGCUGUCGUCAGCUCGUGUCGUGAGAUGUUGGGUUAAGUCCCGCAACGAGCGCAACCCACGUCUUUAGUUGCCAGCAUUUAGUUGGGCACUCUAGAGAGACCGCCGGUGAUAAACCGGAGGAAGGUGUGGAUGACGUCAAGUCAUCAUGCCCCUUACAUCCUGGGCUACACACGUACUACAAUGCUACGGACAAAGAGCAGCAAGUUCGCGAGAGCUAGCAAAUCCCAUAAACCGUGGCUCAGUUCAGAUCGUAGGCUGCAACUCGCCUACGUGAAGGAGGAAUCGCUAG
rnacentral:rRNA from 1 species